rnacentral:rRNA from 1 species
CAGUAGCCGCGGUAAUACGAAGGGUGCAAGCGUUACUCGGAAUUACUGGGCGUAAAGCGUGCGUAGGCGGUUGGUUAAGUCUGCUGUGAAAGCCCUGGGCUCAACCUGGGAACUGCAGUGGAAACUGGCCAGCUAGAGUGUGUCAGAGGAUGGUGGAAUUCCCGGUGUAGCGGUGAAAUGCGUAGAGAUCGGGAGGAACACCAGUGGCGAAGGCGGCCAUCUGGGACAACACUGACGCUGAGGCACGAAAGCGUGGGGAGCAAACAGGAUUAGAUACCCCCGUAGUCCCUGUCUCUUAUAC